rnacentral:rRNA from 1 species
GGCACGCCUGCCUGGGCGUCGUGUGCUGCGUCUCUCCUAUCAAUGCUUUCCUAUCAUAUAGAUUGGUUUGCAUUGCGUGGAUGCGAAAGAUUGGCCCCUUGUGCCUAGGUGCGGUGGGUCUAAGGACUAGUGUUUUGAUGGUUCGAAACCUGGCAGGAGGUGGAGGAUGU